AUUUGUUUAGUAGUGUACAGUUCUCAAAUGCCUCUGUAUGUGCCAACAUGAUGUGCUGGGAUGGAAGGCCUGGCCAUCAUGACUCCUAACCCCAUGGUCACAGAGUGAAGGCCUGGAAGACUUCUCAUGAAACCAUCUGGAUUGUAUUACCUGGAGUACAGCCAGCAGGUCAAAGGUGUGGAAGAGAUUAUACUCCUCCAUCAGGCAACUUUGAGUUUUUCUCCCCCAAGGAGGAGUACAAGACACUGGUGGAGUGCAAGGCAUCCAAGGUGAUGACCAUGACCCUAGAAAAAGCCUAGAGAAAACAACCUCUUUACGAGACAUACCUUGCAAUAGAUGUUUGUUUAACUGGAAAUCCACAAGAGCAGCUGCCCAGUGCAACGGUACAUAUUUGCUUCUGAAUCCUUUCUCAAAGACACUAUUUAAACAUGCUGAUGAACUGAGCUGGAUUUUCCCCCACCUCCAUUCCAGUAAAAUAAGGAGACUCAGAAGAUAAAAUUUGUUUUGUUAUUGCAAGUAGUGCUAUGUGGUACAGGAUUAAAUAAGAGAUGUGAACUCACCAUGGCAACCCCUGCAUCACAUUGCAGAUAUGCUGCUUCUAAGAUACGGCAAAUGUUUCUGAAGAAAUACACAUGAAUAUGAGGAAUCCAGGAAACUCGCUUGUCUGAUUUGAACCACCUCCUGCUGAUGUUCUGAGAUCUUGCAAUA